UUAAAUUGAAGAGUUUGAUCAUGGCUCAGAUUGAACGCUGGCGGCAGGCCUAACACAUGCAAGUCGAGCGGUAGCACAGAGAGCUUGCUCUCGGGUGACGAGCGGCGGACGGGUGAGUAAUGUCUGGGAAACUGCCUGAUGGAGGGGGAUAACUACUGGAAACGGUAGCUAAUACCGCAUAAUGUCGCAAGACCAAAGUGGGGGACCUUCGGGCCUCAUGCCAUCAGAUGUGCCCAGAUGGGAUUAGCUAGUAGGUGGGGUAACGGCUCACCUAGGCGACGAUCCCUAGCUGGUCUGAGAGGAUGACCAGCCACACUGGAACUGAGACACGGUCCAGACUCCUACGGGAGGCAGCAGUGGGGAAUAUUGCACAAUGGGCGCAAGCCUGAUGCAGCCAUGCCGCGUGUGUGAAGAAGGCCUUCGGGUUGUAAAGCACUUUCAGCGGGGAGGAAGGCGAUAAGGUUAAUAACCUUGUCGAUUGACGUUACCCGCAGAAGAAGCACCGGCUAACUCCGUGCCAGCAGCCGCGGUAAUACGGAGGGUGCAAGCGUUAAUCGGAAUUACUGGGCGUAAAGCGCACGCAGGCGGUCUGUCAAGUCGGAUGUGAAAUCCCCGGGCUCAACCUGGGAACUGCAUUCGAAACUGGCAGGCUAGAGUCUUGUAGAGGGGGGUAGAAUUCCAGGUGUAGCGGUGAAAUGCGUAGAGAUCUGGAGGAAUACCGGUGGCGAAGGCGGCCCCCUGGACAAAGACUGACGCUCAGGUGCGAAAGCGUGGGGAGCAAACAGGAUUAGAUACCCUGGUAGUCCACGCCGUAAACGAUGUCGAUUUGGAGGUUGUGCCCUUGAGGCGUGGCUUCCGGAGCUAACGCGUUAAAUCGACCGCCUGGGGAGUACGGCCGCAAGGUUAAAACUCAAAUGAAUUGACGGGGGCCCGCACAAGCGGUGGAGCAUGUGGUUUAAUUCGAUGCAACGCGAAGAACCUUACCUGGUCUUGACAUCCACAGAACUUUCCAGAGAUGGAUUGGUGCCUUCGGGAACUGUGAGACAGGUGCUGCAUGGCUGUCGUCAGCUCGUGUUGUGAAAUGUUGGGUUAAGUCCCGCAACGAGCGCAACCCUUAUCCUUUGUUGCCAGCGGUCCGGCCGGGAACUCAAAGGAGACUGCCAGUGAUAAACUGGAGGAAGGUGGGGAUGACGUCAAGUCAUCAUGGCCCUUACGACCAGGGCUACACACGUGCUACAAUGGCAUAUACAAAGAGAAGCGACCUCGCGAGAGCAAGCGGACCUCAUAAAGUAUGUCGUAGUCCGGAUUGGAGUCUGCAACUCGACUCCAUGAAGUCGGAAUCGCUAGUAAUCGUAGAUCAGAAUGCUACGGUGAAUACGUUCCCGGGCCUUGUACACACCGCCCGUCACACCAUGGGAGUGGGUUGCAAAAGAAGUAGGUAGCUUAACCUUCGGGAGGGCGCUUACCACUUUGUGAUUCAUGACUGGGGUGAAGUCGUAACAAGGUAACCG
rnacentral:rRNA from 1 species